CAUCCCGUGGACCGGGCCGGGUAAAGCCUUCUUUUUGCGGGCCUGUGCCUGCUCGGGUUUCACAUUAUGGGCCCGAGCUAGGCUAGCCAUGGUCAACUUUUACAUCCCGCUUCAUUGGGCCGUGCAGGGUAGCCUAGAAAUUGCUCGGGCUCGUGCCGGGCCCGGGACAGGUACGGAGUCGUCGCGCCGGGCCCUUGGCGGGUAAAUCAAAGGAAGGCCGGGAUCGGGCCGGGCCUGAGCCUUAGAAUACGGCACGUGCAAUGCUCUACCCUGUACGGUACACGUCCGCUGCGAUACUGCGCACACACUGCGUAAAAAUGCGCAUCCACCGAGAAAAUUCAAAAUUUCCGGAAAUUUUGAAUCGCUUGAAAAAAAAAGUUUCUUUUUUGUUUUUUUCCGAAAAAUUGAGAAAAAUAGAAACAAAUGUGGUUACUGCUGAGUCGAAGCAUUGCCGGCCAAGCCACAGCAUACAAUGAGACAGAAGCUUUAGUAGUGUUCAUCCUCUAGGCAUAAAUGCAGAGCAGAGCAUCCCAUGAGACUGCUGUCUACUCAGCGAUAGGUAAUUAAAACAACCUGUCCACUAUGGCGGGCUAGACAUUAUGUGAAUGCGAUGGCGAUCGCUUGGAGCGGCCAGACGGAGCACUAAGUUGGUGCUUGUUGGCGGACACAGGGGUGGCACAAACCCGCCAUAAAGUCCCUGGAUGACCUCGCUCUUUGAGAAGUAGCGACAGGCUUUACGGCGCCGGCAAAAUGCACACAUUGGCCGGAGUCGCGCACUGAUUUCCUAGCGGCACUUCCGCCGUUUCCUCCGCCAUGAUCUUCCCAAACCUGGUUGCAGCGGCGACAGUGCGCUGAGUUUCUCCCGUGCUUGCGGUUUGAAUAAUCUUUCGUGCGUCGGCAACUUAAUCAGUUGAGAAUGACCGGCUGUUGCGCCUUCGGGUGCAGUGGUCGUCCCGAAACCGGGCAAGCUAUGUUUUCUGUUCCUAUGGGCAAAAGCAAAGAAGCUGCGGCGAGGCGAAAGAUGUGGCUGCACAAGAUAGGUCGAAAAAAUUUCAAGCCGACGAAAAGUAGUAAGCUCUGCGAUAAACACUUCACAGAAGAUCAGUAUGAAUCGCUUGUGCUUCAAAAGUUCGGGCAGAAGAAACUGAAAUGCGACGCCAUCCCGACGAUCUUUUCACAUCGACCAGAGAAGGUUUUAUCGAGGAAGAAUCCCCGUGAACGACGCCGAAUGGGUCAAGGUAGGUACAGGAUGGUUCAGAGAAGUCUAUUGGAACCUCGGUUGGGAUCUCCAGUUUCGUGACAUCGGCUUACGAUAUCUAGGCGCCAACACUUCGGAACAUCAUGUGUUAGCGGACAUCACGUCGUCAUUCAAUGGCCAGCUAAUGCCCUGCUCAAGUGGCUCUGAUGCCAGCGACAAAAACUUUACAGAAGCACAUGAAACAGAUUUCUACGCAGCUGAGCAGCUUCCAGAUGCCACUGAUACAGAUAUGUCGAGUUGUCCCUCUCAACCAAGAUUGCUGUUUGAUCAUGCGAAUUACACUUUACCAGGAGAGAAUAGUGCAGGCCUUGUUGCUGCUUAUGAAGAGGUGUCCGAGAUGAUUGUCACAAGCUCUACAGUGAAAAGCACUCAAACUG